CGGGUGAGUAAUGUCUGGGAACUGCCUGAUGGAGGGGGAUAACUACUGGAAACGGUAGCUAAUACCGCAUAACGUCGCAAGACCAAAGAGGGGGACCUUCGGGCCUCUUGCCAUCGGAUGUGCCCAGAUGGGAUUAGCUAGUAGGUGGGGUAACGGCUCACCUAGGCGACGAUCCCUAGCUGGUCUGAGAGGAUGCCAGCCACACUGGAACUGAGACACGGUCCAG
rnacentral:rRNA from 1 species